rnacentral:tRNA from 1 species
GCUCAGUAGCUCAGUUGGUUGAGCAUGUGACAUUAGCUCUCAGGAUUGUGGGUUUGAGCCCCAUGCUGGGAA